GCCAGCUUUCUUUAAUUAUUGGAGCAUCUGCGAAAUUCUGGAUCCAUUCUAAUAACAAGGGAAAUUUUUCAUGAUCUAUCAAGGUCGCACCACAUACCUCCUCCCACACACUAAGCAAAUUAGCAAGCCAACCAAAAGCAAGGUCUACCAGUCCAAUUGUCUCUCCAUUGAAGAAUUUUUUUCCAGUAAGCUGUCUUUCUACAAAUCCCAAGUUCUCCUGGGCUGUAACGAUAGCUUCCUCUUGAUCCUU